GAUAAGUAAUGUGAAUUGCAGAAUUCAGUGAAUCAUCGAAUCUUUGAACGCACCUUGCGCUCCAUGGUAUUCCGUGGAGCAUGCCUGUUUGAGUGUCAUGAAUACUUCAACCCUCCUCUUUCUUAAUGAUUGAAGAGGUGUUUGGUUUCUGAGCGCUGCUGGCCUUUAGGGUCUAGCUCGUUCGUAAUGCAUUAGCAUCCGCAAUCGAACUUCGGAUUGACUUGGCGUAAUAGACUAUUCGCUGAGGAAUUCUAGUCUUCGGACUAGAGCCGGGUUGGGUUAAAGGAAGCUUCUAAUCAGAAUGUCUACAUUUUAAGAUUAGAUCUCAAAUCAGGUAGGACUACCCGCUGAACUUAAGCA
rnacentral:rRNA from 1 species